rnacentral:rRNA from 1 species
UUGGAGGGCAAGUCUGGUGCCAGCAGCCGCGGUAAUUCCAGCUCCAAUAGCGUAUAUUAAAGUUGUUGCAGUUAAAAAGCUCGUAGUUGAAUUUCGGGAUCAGUACGCUGGUCGUGCCUUGGUAUGUACCGGUGUUACUGGUUCCUACCUUCUGACGAACCGUCAUGUCAUUAAUUUGGUGCGGCGGGAAAUCAGGACUGUUACUUUGAAAAAUCAGAGUGUUUAAAGCAGGCUCGCGCUUGAAUAUAUUAGCAUGGAAUAAUGAAAUAGGACGUUCGAUCCUAUUUUGUUGGUUUCUAGGAUUGACGUAAUGAUUAAUAGGGAUAGUUGGGGGCAUUAGUAUUCAAUUGUCAGAGGUGAAGUCUUGUAGUA